CAACAAAUAUUUUAUAAUAAAAUUUUAGUUUUGGGAAUUAGAGAUGUGGUUUUUCCAUUUUGUUGA
rnacentral:tRNA from 1 species